UUAAGUAAGAAAGGGCGUACGGUGGAUGCCUAGGCACUUGAAACUGAAGAAGGACGCAACAAACGGCGAAACGCGGCGGGGAGCUGUACGUAAGCAAAGAUCCGCCGGUAUCCGAAUGGGGGAACCCGGCAUGCGUAAUAGCAUGUCAUCCGCAGAUGAACAAAUAGUCUGCGAGAGAGGUACCCGGGGAACUGAAACAUCUAAGUACCCGGAGGAAAAGAAAACAACAGUGAUUCCCUGAGUAGCGGCGAGCGAAAGGGGAGGAGCCCAAACCAGACCGAGGUCUGGGGUUGAAGGACCGCGAUACGGCAAGAAUCAUGGUAGGAGAACGGCAUUGAAAGGCCGACCGGAGAGGGUGCAAGUCCCGUAUCCGAAACCGUGAGGAAGCCCAGCGGGAUCCUGAGUACGGCGAGACACGAGAAAUCUUGUCGGAAGCAGGCGGGACCAUCCGUCAAGGCUAAAUAUAAGCAAGUGACCGAUAGUGAACCAGUACCGUGAGGGAAAGGUGAAAAGAACCGCGGGAGCGGAGUGAAAUAGAACCUGAAACCGUAUGCUUACAAGAAGUCAGAGCACGUUAAGGUGUGAUGGCGUGCCUUUUGUAGAAUGAACCGGCGAGUUAUGUUAUCGUGCGAGGUUAAGCAGGAGAUGCGGAGCCGAAGCGAAAGCGAGUCUUAAUAGGGCGGCAGUACGAUGACAUAGACCCGAAACCGUGUGAUCUAGCCAUGACCAGGUUGAAGUUCAGGUGAAACUGAAUGGAGGACCGAACCGACCCCCGUUGAAAAGUUGGCGGAUGAGUUGUGGCUAGGGGAGAAAUUCCAAUCGAACACGGAUAUAGCUGGUUCUCCCCGAAAUAGCUUUAGGGCUAGCGUCGAGGAUGAGUCUUGUGGAGGUAGAGCACUGAAUGUACGAUGGCCCCAUCCCGGGGUACUGAGUAUAAUCAAACUCCGAAUGCCAUGAGAUAUUCCCGGCAGUCAGACCGUGGGUGAUAAGGUCCAUGGUCAAAAGGGAAACAGCCCAGACCGCCAGUUAAGGUCCCAAAAUGUAUGCUAAGUGGAAAAGGAUGUGGGGAUGCACAGACAACUAGGAGGUUGGCUCAGAAGCAGCCAUCCUUCAAAGAGUGCGUAACAGCUCACUAGUCGAGUGACCCUGCGCCGAAAAUGUACCGGGGCUAAGCAUACUACCGAAGCUGCGGAUUUGUAGUAAUACAAGUGGUAGGGGAGCGUUCCAUGCACGUGGAAGCCAUACCGUAAGGAGUGGUGGAGAGCAUGGAAGUGAGAAUGCCGGUGUGAGUAGCGAGAUGCAGGUGAGAAUCCUGCACACCGAUAGCCCAAGGAUUCCAGGGGAAGGUUCGUCCGCCCUGGGUAAGUCGGGACCUAAGGCGAGGCCGAAAGGCGUAGUCGAUGGAAAACAGGCAGAUAUUCCUGUACCCGCGAUGGAAAUGAAGGAAUGACGGAGAAGGCUAGCAUGAGCCACUUAUUGGAUUGUGGUCGAAGCGAAUAGCAGGUGCAUAGUCAAAUGCGUGCACGGGAUGUAAAACGUGACAGGUAAGCGAAACCCCUGGGGAGUAGCGAAGCAUGCGAGGCCAGCUUCCAGGAAAAGUUUCUAGUGCUGAUUCCAUAGCGGCCCGUACCAAAACCGACACAGGUGGGCAAGGAGAGUAUCCUGAGGUGAGCGAGAGAACUGUUGCCAAGGAACUCGGCAAAAUGACUCCGUAAGUUAGCGAGAAGGAGUGCUUAUGAAAGUAAGCCGCAGUGAAGAGGCCCAAGCGACUGUUUAACUAAAACACAGCUCUCUGCGAAGUCGCAAGACGAAGUAUAGGGGGUGACGCCUGCCCGGUGCUGGAAGGUUAAGAGGAUUUGUCAGUUUCGACGAAGCAAUGAAUUGAAGCCCCAGUGAACGGCGGCCGUAACUAUAACGGUCCUAAGGUAGCGAAAUUCCUUGUCAGGUAAG
rnacentral:rRNA from 1 species